CCAAUAGCGUAUAUUAAAGUUGUUGCAGUUAAAAAGCUCGUAGUUGAACUUCGGGAUCAAUGGGUCGGUCAUGCCGUCGGUAUGUACUGAUUUUAUUGGUUCUCACCUUCUAAGGAACCGUAAUGUCAUUAGUUUGAUGUUGCGGGGAAUUAGGACUGUUACCUUGAAAAAAUUAGAGUGUUUAAAGCAGGCUAACGCUUGAAUACAUUAGCAUGGAAUAAUGAAAUAGGACAUCAGAUUCUAUUUUGUUGGUUUCUAGGAUCGAUGUAAUGAUUAAUAGGGAUAGUUGGGGGCAUUAGUAUUCAAUUGUCAGAGGUGAAAUUCUUGGAUUUAUUGAAGACUAACUACUGCGAGAGCAUUUGCCAAGGAUGUUUUCAUUAAUCAAGAACGAAAGUUAGGGGAUCGAAGACGAUCAGAUACCGUCGUAGUCUUAACCAUAAACUAUGCCGACUAGGGAUCGGAUGAUGUUAAUUUUUUAAUGACUCAUUCGGCACCUUACG
rnacentral:misc_RNA from 1 species